GCGCGGAGCGGGGAGGGGUAGGCGUGCGCUGACGCAACGCAGUAUCGGCCACGGCCGGCGCAGUCCUUCGCAUUCUGUGUUGAGAUUUGGGUGUUUUUGUUUUCAAGAUAACAUUUUUUCGUAGAUUUUUGGCUUUCUCUUUACUGGACUUGAUUUUUGCAUUGUGAGUGGUUCGUCGAUAUGGCUGACGAUAUUAAUAAUUGUGCUGCGUGUGAACGUACACUACGUCGUCGUCGUUCAUACGUCCUAAUGAACGAUUACUGGAAACUCAAGAGAUUUCUUAGAACAACUGUUAAGCAUCGUUGGUGGUGAAAUAGCUUUUGAUGGAACUCGGUCGAUUUGCCACUCAUGUCGGCAUAGAAUCGAUGCUGCAAUUAAUCAAGAGCGACAAGCUACACCUGCUCCGGCCCCACCAACUGCUACCGUAAAUGUGCAAGGAGUUAGACGCGCCUCUAAUACGGCCCGGCGAUGUUUAAUUGACAACUGCAACAACAGUUCUCUGCGUCAAGUGCCUAAUUCGGUAAAGGUACAACUCCUUAGCUAUUACCACUUUUAUGUACCAAAUCUUGCCCGCAUUUGCCUAUGGCAUUUACUACACAUGGCGAUAGAAGAGAUUCCUGAACAUGUUAAUUUUGUAAAUAAAAAGUCAUUUUGUAUUU